ACGUAGGUGGCAAGCGUUGUCCGGAAUUACUGGGUGUAAAGGGAGCGUAGGCGGGAAAGCAAGUUGAAUGUUUAAGGUAUGGGCUCAACCUGUACAAGCGUUCAAAACUGUUUUUCUUGAGUGGAGUAGAGGUAAGCGGAAUUCCUAGUGUAGCGGUGAAAUGCGUAAAUAUUAGGAGGAACACCAGUGGCGAAGGCGGCUUACUGGGCUUUAACUGACGCUGAGGCUCGAAAGCGUGGGUAGCAAA
rnacentral:rRNA from 1 species